rnacentral:rRNA from 1 species
UGGCGGACGGGUGAGUAAUGCGUAGGAAUCUACCUAGUUGAGUGGGAUAGCCUAGGGAAACUUAGGGUAAUACCGCAUAAGUCUUACGGGAGAAAGCAGGGGACUGUUAAAGGCCUUGCGCGAUUAGAUGAGCCUACGUCGGAUUAGCUUGUUGGCGGGGUAAAGGCCUACCAAGGCGAUGAUCCGUAGCUGGUCUGAGAGGACGACCAGCCACACUGGGACUGAGACACGGCCCAG